rnacentral:misc_RNA from 1 species
GCCAAGCACAAGGAAUUCAAAGGUAGUUAUUUAUUUACUUUUUCCAGCAUUUUAUUUUUGGACUGAAUUUCACUAAAGUUACUUUUAUAAGCUUGUAAAUUAUAAUAUUUCAGGAAACAAAGAAGUUCAACCUAUAUGCUAGCGAGAUGUGCAUAUACUUUAUGCUUCCCUUUUUUGCAAUGUUUGUAGGGAAGCUUUGCUUGUGGGAAAUCUCUUUGAGCUAUGAAGCCUAUGAUCUGUGAGAUUUUUCUAUAAUUAAUUGAAAAUGAGUUUUUUUUUUAAUUAAAAAAA